AAGAUAUCUCGGAUAAUCGCUAUAUUUAUAUAUAGAGGAAAGUCCAUGCUCACACAUGCCUGAGAUGGCUGUAGUGAUCGUGCCUGGUGAAACAAUAAGCCAGGGCAUUAAUUUGACGGCAACGAACGAACCUAAGUCUAUGAUAUGGUUUCAGUAGUUUGAAAGUGCCACAGUGACGUAGCUUCUUUAGAAAUAAAGAAGGUGGAACGCGGUAAACCCCUCGAGUGAGCAAUCCAAAUUUGGUAGGAGCACUUUUCUAGCGGAAAUGAACGUAUAGAAGAGGUAUGAAAGUACAGACAGAUGAUUAUCACCGGCGUACGAGAGUAACUAGGCUCGCUAGUAGUACUAUGGGACAGAACAUGGCUUAUAGAGAUAUCUUUCUA
rnacentral:RNase_P_RNA from 1 species